UCGAACGGGAAAGUGGGAGCAAUCCCAUGAGUAGAGUGGCGUACGGGUGAGUAACACGUGGGUAAUCUACCUCUUAGUGGGGAAUAACCAUGGGAAACCGUGGCUAAUACCGUAUAAGCCUGAGAAGGGAAAGCAGCAAUGCGCUGAGAGAGGAGCCCGCGGCCGAUUAGCUAGUUGGCAGGGUAAAAGCCUACCAAGGCAAAGAUCGGUAGCCGGCCUGAGAGGGCACACGGCCACACUGGCACUGAAACACGGGCCAGACUCCUACGGGAGGCAGCAGUGGGGAAUCUUGCACAAUGGGGGCAACCCUGAUGCAGCGACGCCGCGUGAGCGAUGAAGUCCUUCGGGGCGUAAAGCUCUUUCGGCAGGGAAGAUUAUGACGGUACCUGCAGAAGCAGCUGCGGCUAACUACGUGCCAGCAGCCGCGGUAAUACGUAGGCAGCAAGCGUUGUUCGGAGUUACUGGGCGUAAAGGGUGUGUAGGCGGUUGCUUAAGUUUGGUGUGAAAUCUCCCGGCUCAACUGGGAGGGUGCGCCGAAUACUGAGUGACUAGAGUGCGGGAGAGGAGAGUGGAAUUCCUGGUGUAGCGGUGAAAUGCGUAGAUAUCAGGAGGAACACCGGCGGUGUAGACGGCUCUCUGGACCGUAACUGACGCUGAGACACGAAAGCGUGGGUAGCAAACAGGAUUAGAUACCCUGGUAGUCCACGCCCUAAACGAUGCAUAUUUGGUGUGGGCAGUUCAUUCUGUCCGUGCCGGAGCUAACGCGUU
rnacentral:rRNA from 1 species